UUUCGUUUCGUCCUCUGUGCAUCGUACGUAAGCGAACAGCUGUUAUGUUGUUGCUAAGCCGGAAACAAAGCAUGUGAAUAUUUUUUUUUUGGCACGGCGUCGUUUGGAAAGUGCACUUCCUUGUUCUGACCUUGCCUUUUAUGGGCUGGAGCGAUACGAUACGUGAUAUGCUACGGCGAAGUUGUCGAAGAUGCGACGGUGCUACGCUGUUAGAACAAUUCAUCGGAGCAUUCAAGUGUUACCUAUUAUAAGCUGCCAAAAGACCAAGCAGUGCGAAGCUCUUGGCUGACAGUGAUGCCUGCUAAUUUCCACUGCAAGGAUUUCGUCCACAAAUGUUAUCAUAGGUUACGAGCGACUCCAGAGGCACUUUGGAAUCUCGGCAUGAAAUCGUCUGAUGAAAAUCUCAGGUGCCCGACGCACAACAUUUUGAACGUGCCACGGAGGAUCAAGGCAAAAAACGAGAGCGAAAAAGGUGCACGCUGAAGGCGGAAAUUAAGCAUGAUCUGGCUUGCAUCUGGUGCAUGAAGAAAUUGCUGACACGUUAGUUGCAGUCUACCUCCACCAACAGGGUGGAAAACAAAGGUCGCCAUUCCGAUUAGCUGCUAUCUCCCAGUUCAAGCACUUUUGCUGUCUGGACACUGGUUCCUGUGGAUGGGGUGUUACAAGCUUCACUGUCUGAUAUAGAAGUGAUGAGCAUCCAUAAGGACACAUGCCAGAAAGGGAGUCUCUUUGGGAUGACAAACCCUCAUCACCUCAUGAGGAUACAAUGGUUGACGAAUUGUUCUCAAGUACAUCGAAACUUCAACAAAUAAUUCAUGAAGAAGCCAGUCAGUGCUAGCCCCAGGAAUUGAACGUGGACCGUCCUGCUACCAGUCAGAGAUGUUACAUUUCAGGCGCUCAUUGACUUUUGGUGAAUUACUUGUUGACUUUGUCCCAAGGUGGAGCUCGCCACAGCUCAUUUGCCUAUCUGUUAAUGUUGUGGCGUGUGUUGCGUUUUUCUCUUUGUGUGUUCCAGACUCAGAACGGUUAAUUUGGAUCAGGUCAGGUACGUUUCAUUUAGACAUGGCAAACAUAAAGUGGUGUUUCUCAACACAACUUAGCAGUGGCCUUCAUGCAUUACUGCUAUGGCCAUUAAGCGUGAAUGGAAACCUCCACAUUAUGCAUGAUGUAAAACCCCAAGACUAGGGAACACGAAGGGACAGACACAAACACGUCCCUUUGUGUUCCCCAGUCUCGGGGGUUUUACAUAUGCAUCAUCUUCACCAGCUCGCUUGCUUCCUAGCCAUUUUUUCUGCACAUUAUGUUCACUCUACUUUUAUCAUGUGCUAUAUAAUCUUGUUCAAGUUCUGUCAAACGACGUGUAAUGCUAUAAAAAAAAUUCACUACACUGUUUAUGUGGGUUGAAUGGUAGCGCAUGAAUGCAGGAAGGAAACUGUCAUGUUAUGGCAAGUGUUUACGUAUUGUACAUUUAACUACGAAUUUUAUAGGUUAGCUUUUGCCGGCGUAUCAUGUCAAGCCAUGUUAUAUCAAUUUGGAACGUGUUCUUAGUAGCCAGAGCAGCUGAUACACAGUGAGGACAUAGCCCGUGUGUGUUUGUCUUUUCCACCGCAGCCCUUGGGUUUUCUCCCUGAUGGCUACAAAUGUCAGGGAAAGGUUUCAGAACCGGUAGUUCCCGCCAAGUGUGAAUUGCUUUUCAGGGGAUCAUCACGCUGGCAGAUAAAACAUAUGGUUUAAAUUAUUUGCAGGACAGGAAUUGCGUAGCUUCACACAAAUACUACUACAACGACGUAAGAGUGGUUUCAAAUCUAGCUUUUUUGUGUUCCUGACAUUAUCGCACGAGAUGUAGUAUCCACUAUGAUCCUUUAUAUGGGGGGUAUGUACAGUGCAGUCAACAGAUGCUAUUUACAAAUCUGUGUUUUCUACUGUGUUGAAAUGGGGUAGUUUGUAUCUGAGAGCCAUAGUGAAACACAGGCAGCCAAGGACAGACCUUUGAUGCCCUCGAGAAACUUGGCAACACAAUGCAGGGACUCUGGAUGCUGCCUAAAUUUCCAGAACACACAGCUCAAGGCAGCGGUUAAAUAAUAAGUGGUUAGAGAAAUCCAAGACAGUUGCAUGUGUAAGCAGUCCGCUGUUGGAUUUGCUUCUGUCCGAGAUACGUUAUCUGAAAGGGAACGCACGGGCACACUCAGAAUGAUACCAGGGCUGCCUGUGAAAUAGAAUGAGGAGAGGGGAAGAUAUAUAACCCUUUUUUCUUGUCUGUUAUUCUAUUGGUUAAAUUGUCAUUUGCUUAGCAGCAUAUAUGUGUAUAUUCCAGAGUCUGCUAAUAAAUAUAUCAGUUUA